GGGGGGGCUAAUACAUGCAAGUCGAACGCUUCUUUUUCCACCGGAGCUUGCUCCACCGGAAAAAGAGGAGUGGCGAACGGGUGAGUAACACGUGGGUAACCUGCCCAUCAGAAGGGGAUAACACUUGGAAACAGGUGCUAAUACCGUAUAACAAUCAAAACCGCAUGGUUUUGAUUUGAAAGGCGCUUUCGGGUGUCGCUGAUGGAUGGACCCGCGGUGCAUUAGCUAGUUGGUGAGGUAACGGCUCACCAAGGCCACGAUGCAUAGCCGACCUGAGAGGGUGAUCGGCCACAUUGGGACUGAGACACGGCCCAAACUCCUACGGGAGGCAGCAGUAGGGAAUCUUCGGCAAUGGACGAAAGUCUGACCGAGCAACGCCGCGUGAGUGAAGAAGGUUUUCGGAUCGUAAAACUCUGUUGUUAGAGAAGAACAAGGAUGAGAGUAACUGUUCAUCCCUUGACGGUAUCUAACCAGAAAGCCACGGCUAACUACGUGCCAGCAGCCGCGGUAAUACGUAGGUGGCAAGCGUUGUCCGGAUUUAUUGGGCGUAAAGCGAGCGCAGGCGGUUUCUUAAGUCUGAUGUGAAAGCCCCCGGCUCAACCGGGGAGGGUCAUUGGAAACUGGGAGACUUGAGUGCAGAAGAGGAGAGUGGAAUUCCAUGUGUAGCGGUGAAAUGCGUAGAUAUAUGGAGGAACACCAGUGGCGAAGGCGGCUCUCUGGUCUGUAACUGACGCUGAGGCUCGAAAGCGUGGGGAGCAAACAGGAUUAGAUACCCUGGUAGUCCACGCCGUAAACGAUGAGUGCUAAGUGUUGGAGGGUUUCCGCCCUUUCAGUGCUGCAGCUAACGCAUUAAGCACUCCGCCUGGGGAGUACGACCGCAAGGUUGAAUAGAAAGAAAAGCGGAAAAU
rnacentral:rRNA from 1 species